ACACCCGGCUGGGCGUUUCUCGCGCCGCUUUGCGACAACGGAUGGCGCCGCGCGACGGCCACGGCGUUUUGCGGCCGCUACGAGGCCGCCGGGCCGCUGCCCGCGGGGGACACCGAAAGCGCGUGGCCGCGAGGGCGCGCGCGGGCAGGAAAGGGGGUCUAACGGUUUCCACACCCUUCUAGGGGCGGGCCUUCCGCCGCCCGCCCCUCCCCGCCCGCUGUUGCCAUGGCGACGCGUGGCUGGUCGUCCUGGCACCGCCCUGCCGCCGUGUGUUACGUCACAGUCUCGCCACCUGACGUCACGGACGGGCGGCGCCGCGGGAUGUUCCGGGGAGAACAGCGGUGACGUGGGUGCCCCGUUGUCUUCAUCCACCGUGACAUCAGCAAGGAGCAGAGAGGAAGUGGCCCCGGACCCGCGGCCGGCAGCUAGACAAAUGCACUGCUGGGACUGCCAUGCCCAGCACGGGCCGCUCCCCUGGGGCUCUGCGCGUAGAGCCGACUCCUUGCUUGUACCUGCCUGCCUUCCGGCCUGCACCGGGCAAGAAACGUGGGGAGGGGAUCCACAGGCCAAGGCGCCGCACAGUGAUGCCCUGCUCCAUCCCAUGACAGGGCCUGGAAGGGGACUGGCAGCUGCAGAAAUGGUUUCCGGCCUUCCCACAUCCCCCACGCACUUCCCGGUGGGGGCAUUUUUAAAGUCGAAGGAGACACAUUCAUUCAAAUAUGUAUUAAGUGCCUGCCAGUGGCUCUGAGAAUAGAACAGUGAGCUAGA